CGGAUUGAAGGCUGAAAUUCGCCUUCAUGAAGCCGGAAUUGCUAGUAAUGGCAGGUCAGCAUACUGCCGUGAAUACGUUCCCGGGCCUUGUACACACCGCCCGUCGCACCAUGAGAGUUGGAGAUACCCGAAGCCUGUGAGCUAACAAACGAGGCAGCAGUCGAAGGUAGAGCCAAUGAUUGGGGUGAAGUCGUAACAAGGUAGC
rnacentral:rRNA from 1 species